rnacentral:rRNA from 1 species
UACGUAGGCAGCGAGCGUUGUUCGGAGUUACUGGGCGUAAAGAGUGCGUAGGUGGCUCUCUAAGUUUGGUGUGAAAUCUCCCGGCUCAACUGGGAGGGUGCGCCGAAAACUGGAGGACUAGAGUGUGGGAGAGGAAAGCGGAAUUCCUGGUGUAGCGGUGAAAUGCGUAGAUAUCAGGAGGAACACCUGCGGUGUAGACGGCUUUCUGGACCACUACUGACACUGAGGCACGAAAGCGUGGGGAGCAAACAGGAUUAGAUACCCUGGUAGUCCACGCCCUAAACGAUGCACACUUGGUGUGAGCCAUUCAUUUGGUUCGUGCCGGAGCUAACGCGUUAAGUGUGCCGCCUGGGGAGUACGGUCGCAAGGCUGAA